CAGCGAACGUCAUGUUAAUUUGCCGAAAAUUUACAAAAUGAAAAGUUUAUAAAUGAAACUUGAAAUAACGAAAUUUCUAGUGUGUUUCAUGAUAUCCUUUUAAAAUAUACAAGUGCUUACAACAAUAUCAGAAUGAAGUACAUGGACAGACUACCUACAGUAAUAAGCUGUUGCUUUUGCUGCUUCUUAAGAGCUGGCACUGUUAUGAUAGCCAUGUUUUCGUUUAUCGUCGGUCUAAUCUUCGCGCCAAAUGUCAACAAUACUAAAGGCUUCUGGGACUUGGAGCAGUUCCUCUCCUACUACAGUAGUGUCACAGAAAUGGUCCUCCAGGUCAUACUCGGAGCCAUAUCCAUCAUGCUGUGCAUUGUCAGCAUGAUGCUUAUCAUCGGGUCUUGCUGUAACAUGCCAAUGCUGAUUGAAGUUUACCAAUGGGGCGCGUGCAUAUAUUCCAUAGUUGUGUCUCUGCUGUUCCUUGUCCUGGCAUUUAUGUGCUUCUUCAUCCACUCUGACUGCUUUGUAGCUGGCUGGGUACUGUGCGGACUCAUUGUUUGUAAUAUUGGACUAACCAUGUAUUUCGUGGUGGUUGCAAACAGUCUUCGCCGCUCCCUUAUAUACCUAACUUACACAAACACGCUACUAGAUUAGUGUCAAUGGGCACACAGAUGGCAGCACAAGCGCAAAACUUCCAUGAUGCACAAACCGAGCGGACUGUCAAAAUACCGUAUUUAGGUGCUGCAUUCUGCCGUGAUAAUGACAAUAUAUUUCGUGAUAGUAGCAAAUAGUCUGCGCAUGUCUUUGGUAUACCUGGCGACGACCGAUAUUCUAAACCUGUGAUAGAUUUACCAACAUAAAUAUUGUAAAUAAUAAGAAUGAAAAUGGUUGUGUUGUGUUAUAAAAAUUGUGAAUGUUUUGUCAAUAAAGCGUUGAAGUUUC